rnacentral:lncRNA from 1 species
UCUUUGUUGGCCCAACAUCAGUAUGCCAACAAAGUUAACUAUUUGCCAACAAACUGCCAACAAUGUUAACUAUUAGCCAACAGUCUACCAACGUCGUCUAGUUUUAAAAUUAUGUUGGGCCAAUGUUGGUCGAACAGAAGUAUGCCAACGAUGGCUUUAGUCUGUCAAACAUGUAUUUCAUGCAUUUCAUAUUAUGUAUUAAGGUA